GGAAUAUUGCGCAAUGGGCGAAAGCCUGACGCAGCGACGCCGCGUGGAGGAUGAAGGCCUUCGGGUCGUAAACUCCUGUCGAGGGGGAAGAAAUGGUUCCUCGUGAAUAGCGAGGCGCCUUGACUGUACCCCUGGAGGAAGCCUCGGCUAACUCCGGGCCAGCAGCCGCGGUAAUACGGAGGGGGCCAGCGUUGCUCGGAAUUACUGGGCGUAAAGGGCUCGUAGGCGGUCUGAUAAGUCCUGUGUGAAAUCCCUUGGCUUAACCAAGGAAUUGCGCCGGAUACUGUCGGACUCGAGGCCGGGAGAGGGAAGCGGAAUUCCCAGUGUAGCGGUGAAAUGCGUAGAUAUUGGGAGGAACACCGGUGGCGAAGGCGGCUUCCUGGACCGGUUCUGACGCUGAGGAGCGAAAGCUAGGGGAGCAAAC
rnacentral:rRNA from 1 species